GCUGGCGGCGUGCUUAACACAUGCAAGUCGAACGAUGAAGCUGGAGCUUGCUCCAGUGGAUUAGUGGCGAACGGGUGAGUAACACGUGAGAAAUCUGCCCUUGACUCUGGGAUAACUGCGGGAAACUGUAGCUAAUACCGGAUACUUUCCGAGGUGGGCAUCCACUUCGGAAGAAAGAAUUUCGGUCAAGGAUGAUCUCGCGGCCUAUCAGCUUGUUGGUGAGGUAACGGCUCACCAAGGCGACGACGGGUAGCCGGCCUGAGAGGGUGACCGGCCACACUGGGACUGAGACACGGCCCAGACUCCUACGGGAGGCAGCAGUGGGGAAUAUUGCACAAUGGGCGCAAGCCUGAUGCAGCAACGCCGCGUGAGGGAUGAAGGCCUUCGGGUUGUAAACCUCUUUUAGCAGGGAAGAAGCGAAAGUGACGGUACCUGCAGAAAAAGCACCGGCUAACUACGUGCCAGCAGCCGCGGUAAUACGUAGGGUGCAAGCGUUGUCCGGAAUUAUUGGGCGUAAAGAGCUCGUAGGCGGCUUGUCACGUCUGCUGUGAAAAUCCAAGGCUCAACCUUGGACUUGCAGUGGGUACGGGCAAGCUA
rnacentral:rRNA from 1 species